rnacentral:rRNA from 1 species
AUUGAACGCUGGCGGCAUGCCUUACACAUGCAAGUCGAACGGCAGCACGGGAGCAAUCCUGGUGGCGAGUGGCGAACGGGUGAGUAAUAUAUCGGAACGUGCCCAGUCGUGGGGGAUAACGUAGCGAAAGCUACGCUAAUACCGCAUACGAUCUAUGGAUGAAAGCGGGGGAUCGCAAGACCUCGCGCGAUUGGAGCGGCCGAUAUCAGAUUAGGUAGUUGGUGGGGUAAAAGCCCACCAAGCCGACGAUCUGUAGCUGGUCUGAGAGGACGACCAGCCACACUGGGACUGGAGACGACCGGCCCAGACUCCGUACGGGAGGCAGCAGGUGGGGUAAUUUUGGAACAAGUGGGCGACAA